GAGCCUGAUCCAGCCAUCCCGCGUGAAGGACGACGGCCCUAUGGGUUGUAAACUUCUUUUGUACAGGGAUAAACCUUUCCACGUGUGGGAAGCUGAAGGUACUGUACGAAUAAGCACCGGCUAACUCCGUGCCAGCAGCCGCGGUAAUACGGAGGGUGCAAGCGUUAUCCGGAUUUAUUGGGUUUAAAGGGUCCGUAGGCGGACUCGUAAGUCAGUGGUGAAAUCUCACAGCUUAACUGUGAAACUGCCAUUGAUACUGCGGGUCUUGAGUGUUGUUGAAGUAGCUGGAAUAAGUAGUGUAGCGGUGAAAUGCAUAGAUAUUACUUAGAACACCAAUUGCGAAGGCAGGUUACUAAGCAACAACUGACGCUGAUGGACGAAAGCGUGGGGAGCGAACAGGAUUAGAUACCCUGGUAGUCCACGCCGUAAACGAUGCUAACUCGUUUUUGGGUCUUUAAGAUUCAGAGACUAAGCGAAAGUGAUAAGUUAGCCACCUGGGGAGUACGUUCGCAAGAAUGAAACUCAAAGGAAUUGACGGGGGCCCGCACAAGCGGUGGAUUAUGUGGUUUAAUUCGAUGAUACGCGAGGAACCUUACCAAGGCUUAAAUGGGAAUUGAUUGGUUUAGAAAUAGACCGUCCUUCGGGCAAUUUUCAAGGUGCUGCAUGGUUGUCGUCAGCUCGUGCCGUGAGGUGUUAGGUUAAGUCCUGCAACGAGCGCAACCCCUGUCACUAGUUGCCAUCAUUCAGUUGGGGACUCUAGUGAGACUGCCUACGCAAGUAGAGAGGAAGGUGGGGAUGACGUCAAAUCAUCACGGCCCUUACGCCUUGGGCCACACACGUAAUACAAUGGCCGGUACAGAGGGCAGCUACACAGCGAUGUGAUGCAAAUCUCGAAAGCCGGUCUCAGUUCGGAUUGGAGUCUGCAACUCGACUCUAUGAAGCUGGAAUCGCUAGUAAUCGCGCAUCAGCAUGGCGCGUGAUAC
rnacentral:rRNA from 1 species